UUUCCAUGCUUUACUUUAUCAUUUUUACAGGUAGAUAUAUAAAACUGUUUUCUCUCUACAAAUGUAAUGUUGAUAAAGUUGUUGCUUAUGUAAUGUGGUAAAUGUUUUAGCUGGCCUGAACUGGCGCCGAAACCCGAUUGCUCUUUGUUGGUUAGUAGAGUUAUUCUGUUCAAUUAUUUUUUUUGUUGGUCUUCAUGAAUCUUCUUGUUGCAUAAUACGUGUUUGAUCUGACUCAUGUUUGCAGAGACAGGUCUUGGUUUAUGUUACAUUCAAUUUCUUCUGCUUGCUUAUGCAAAACCUAAUAGUCUAUACUCAUUAUUCUCAUUUCGAACAAUAUUAAAGUAUUUCUUACCUAGGUAACUCCCUGUACAUAUUGGUAUAUACGCAAUGGCAACAAUUCUCAUUUUAUUAACAUAAGAAUUUUAAAUUUAGAUCAUACAACUAUAUAUAUAGCUAUAGUUUUAGCUCUGUUAAAAUAUUUCUAAGCAUGCAACUUGUGAAUAUAUUCUUUCUAGCCUAAGCAAUCUUCUAAUAUUAAUCCUCUGUUAUCUACAGUUAGGUGUGUCUGAGCUGAAAACUUAGAUAGUUCUUAUUCUUAUGUUGAUCACAGAACUGUAACUGCUUAAUCAGUGGAUAUAUUCUUACUGGCCAGCAAACAUAUGAAUGUGAUCAUCCUCUGGAUGAGAGGCUGAGGAAGAGUUAUAAGAUUGUGUGGAUUCCCUCUCCAUCUUCUGAUUCAUAGACUGAAGCUGAUGAAAGUAGUUUUAAUUUUCUGUCAGAUUCCUUGCCUUGGCAUGCUGUUCAGAAACAAAGUUUACUUACCUCAGCAGUGUACAUAAGGGAACGAUGAAAUUAAAAGGAUGAGCUAUUCAUGGUUGCGAAAGUCUCCUUCCUCCUACAAAGAAUUUUUUAACUGGUUUCUGCAAUAUUUUUAUUUUUGUUGGGCCUCGAUUAUUAUAAUUGGGCUUGAUCCCAACUCUUCUGAUCCUUCCACAUCUUCCACAGCACCCUCAAUCAUCCUCUGCUUAUAGUCCAACAUGCGAUCUCUGCAUGUGUGCUAGCCUGCUUUCAUUUAAUAUCAUCACCCGAGUUGUUUUUGUUUCUGUUUUUUAAACCUUCCUACUAGAAGAUUGCAUGGUUCAAGCUCUGUCUCAGAAACUUAAGGGAAUCCUUGCCUUUCAAAUUCUCAAAAGUUGAAAUGAAGGAAACGCAGUUUCUCCUCCUCCCUCUCAUUGUCCUCACCCCAGCCGACAACCUUUGUUUUAUGCUAGCUACUUGUUAAACACUUAUAGGGACAAAUUUGGAUACAGUACUGUUUUGUAUUGUUCUCUUAUCAGAAUUGAAGUUGUGUUUUGGUAACUUGCAUUAGAAGACUUUAAAGAUUAUCAAGUUGGAUUUGUAUAUAUUUCAAAAUGUGAGGAAGUGCUUGCAAUGAGCAGAACAGAAACACCUGGGAUCUGCCGAUGGUACAUAUUGAAUCAAAUGGUGCACUUGGCAUUUCAUCACGGUAUGGAGACACUUUAUGCAUACAAAUAUCUUCUAACUAAGCAACUAAAGUAUAUCUAAAUAUUACCAAGCCUGUAUAUAUGGAGUCCCUACUCGUAAAAGAAAAGUUUAUACCAAUUUUGUUCGGAAUAUAAGGUGGAGCAAAUUUUUACAUAAUGUCUUGGAUUUUUCGUACAGUUCUUUUUCUGGACAAUCCAUUAUGGGUCUUUUAAAGGGAUCCAUUUUUGGGCUCGUCAAUUUUGAUAUGAUCUACAUUCUGAAAGGGUUAAGAUUUUUUUAUCAUGGUGCAUCCUAUUCCACAGCUUUUGCAGUACUGCAUGCCACACAAAUAAAUCAUGUUUUCCAAAAACUAACCUUAAUUAUAUGAGUGAGAAAGAAACUAAAUUGAACUAAAACUAUCAAUAACCCAACGAAAUUAAACGAAAAGGAAUUUUCAUGAGAUUAUUUUUCUCUUCUCACAACUUAUUCCUAUCCUAUCAUGUGGGGUGUUGUGAACUUCUUACAAGAAGAUCAAGUCUUUUUUCUCCUAUCUUUUCAAGGAUGCGAAUUUUUUCAAAAACCUGUUCUGUCUUAGUAGAUUGUCUACUUGUUGAGGAUGGCCAAUUGAAUUUUUUUCUAUACCUCUGUUUUUCAAAAUCAAUGAAUUAUUUUGUUUUUAUUAUUUCAAAAAUUUUACUUAGACUUUUAGGACUUUAUUUGACAUUUUCGUUUACUUUGAACAGUUUCUGAUUGUAUUUUCUGUGCUCCAAAUUUUGAGUGAUUAGAUCAUUUGUAGAAUUGAACUUGAUUUUCAAAUGCUGAGCUAUUUAGUCACAACUCUUAAAUCCCUUUUAGCAGUUAAAAAAGGUUCCAAAAGUAGAAAAGUCUUAUAUAGAAGCUCAUUACAUGCUUGUAUGAUAAAAUGAAUGUUAAUAAAGUCUACCUAUUCAUGUGACUCAUUAAAAGGUAGUUUAAACUCCAUGUCUACCAUAAAACAAAGUUGUGAUUCUUCUUCUAUAUGUCUUCAUCUUCAAAGUCAAUUAAGUCAAAUUUUCUCAUUUUGAAAUUAGAUUUUUCUUGAUAUCAUUUUUGACAAACUUCUUUCCUUUGACUUUUCCUACUUUGAACAUGACUUAAAAUGUCUAAGUUUCUUAACUCACAGCAACUGAUCUGCCUUGCGUGCUUUUUAUCCUUUAGAUUUUUAUUUUGCUAUAUCAUCCUUUGAAUCCUCUUAUUUUCCAGAUCUUGUGAAAUUUUCUCGUGAUGAAUAGUAUUUGUCAUCUUUGUCUAGCUCGUGACUUCUAACAAAGUGUUGGAUAAAUCUUCUAUGUUGAAUAUGUUUUAACUUGAUGUUUGUUUCACAUGUUGUUGAGCAUUUCAAGGCGAGAGGCUUUCCUUUCUUCUGUUGAACUUGUUGAAGUUCUAUCUAGUAAACUUCUGAGAUUCUUACUAAUUUCUCCAGAGUAAAACUCUCCAAAUUUGUUAAUGCAGAGAGUUUCAACCUACAACCUCCAUUAUCCCAGCCUUCAAUGAUGUCUCACCAUUGACAAAGGAUGACAUGUUGGAGAUAAGGAAAAAGUGUUCAUCUUAUUUGCUCAAACAAUUGUAAGAAGUUUAGGCUUUUAAGAGUUUUUCCCCUUCACUUUAUAUGUGUUUUUAAUAAUUAGUUGUAUGUACUUUGACUUUGGUAAUUUUACUAUUAAUUUCGUAAGUUAAAAGAUAAAACUUGUUUUAGACCUUUUUUGGA